rnacentral:rRNA from 1 species
AACGAACGCUGGCGGCAUGCCUAACACAUGCAGGUCGAACGAAGCCUUCGGGCUUAGUGGCGCACGGGUGCGUAACGCGUGGGAAUCUGCCCUUUGGUUCGGAAUAACAGUUGGAAACGACUGCUAAUACCGGAUGAUGACGAAAGUCCAAAGAUUUAUCGCCAGAGGAUGAGCCCGCGUAGGAUUAGCUAGUUGGUGUGGCAAAGGCGCACCAAGGCGACGAUCCUUAGCUGGUCUGAGAGGAUGAUCAGCCACACUGGGACUGAGACACGGCCCAGACUCCUACGGGAGGCAGCAGUGGGGAAUAUUGGACAAUGGGCGAAAGCCUGAUCCAGCAAUGCCGCGUGGGUGAUGAAGGCCCUAGGGUUGUAAAGCUCUUUUACCCGGGAUGAUAAUGACAGUACCGGGAGAAUAAGCCCCGGCUAACUCCGUGCCAGCCGCCGCCGUAA